rnacentral:misc_RNA from 1 species
GAUGAAGAACGUAGCGAAAUGCGAUAAGUAGUGUGAAUUGCAGACUUUAGUGAAUCAUCGAAUCUUUGAACGCACAUUGCGCCCCCUGGUAUUCCGGGGGGCAUGCCUGUUCGAGCGUCAUUUCACCACUCAAGCCUCGCUUGGUAUUGGGCAUCGCGGUCCGCCGCGUGCCUCAAAUCGACCGGCUGGGUCUUCUGUCCCCUAAGCGUUGUGGAAACUAUUCGCUAAAGGGUGUUCGGGAGGCUACGCCGUAAAACAACCCCAUUUCUAAGGUUGACCUCGGAUCAGGUAGGGAUACCCGCUGAACUUAAGCAUAUCAAUAAGCGGAGGA